rnacentral:rRNA from 1 species
GACGAACGCUGGCGGCGUGCCUAAUACAUGCAAGUCGAGCGAAUGGAUGGGAGCUUGCUCCCUGAAGUUAGCGGCGGACGGGUGAGUAACACGUGGGCAACCUGCCUGUAAGACUGGGAUAACUUCGGGAAACCGGAGCUAAUACCGGAUACAUUCUUUCUUCGCCUGAAGAAAGAUGGAAAGAUGGUUUCGGCUAUCACUUACAGAUGGGCCCGCGGCGCAUUAGCUAGUUGGUGAGGUAACGGCUCACCAAGGCAACGAUGCGUAGCCGACCUGGGAGGGUGAUCGGCCACACUGGGACUGAGACACGGGCCAGACUCCUACGGGAGGCAGCAGUAGGGAAUCUUCCGCAAUGGACGAAAGUCUGACGGAGCAACGCCGCGUGAGCGAAGAAGGCCUUCGGGUCGUAAAGCUCUGUUGUUAGGGAAGAACAAGUACCAGAGUAACUGCUGGUACCUUGACGGUACCUAACCAGAAAGCCACGGCUAACUACGUGCCAGCCGCCGCGGUAAUAC